rnacentral:rRNA from 1 species
CGGAGGGUGCAAGCGUUAUCCGGAUUCACUGGGUUUAAAGGGUGCGUAGGUGGGCAAGUAAGUCAGUGGUGAAAUCUCCGGGCUUAACCCGGAAACUGCCAUUGAUACUAUUUGUCUUGAAUACUGUGGAGGUCAGCGGAAUAUGUCAUGUAGCGGUGAAAUGCUUAGAUAUGACAUAGAACACCAAUUGCGAAGGCAGCUGGCUACACAAAUAUUGACACUGAGGCACGAAAGCGUGGGGAUCAAACAGGAUUAGAUACCCUGGUAGUCCACGCCCUAAACUAUGGAUACUCGACAUUUGCGAUAAACUGCAAGUGUCUGAGCGAAAGCAUUAAGUAUCCCACCUGGGAAGUACAAUCGCAAGAUUG